rnacentral:ncRNA from 2 species
UCACCAUCCAGAGCGACCGAGAGACCUUGGCUCUACGACGUCGCAGCAACCCCCUUUCUCACCGAAGGUGUGGGUGCUACCGCCAGGACCGAUGGAGG